CUUCCUGCCUGGCUACUGGCCAAUCAGUCUUUUAUUUAUUAACCAAAUCAGAGCAACUUAUUCACAGCAUACAGAGCCGUAUCCACAGCAUUGCCGUAGCCACUUCCCUUUGAUGCUCCACAGCUAAUUCUAAGUAGUAUUUGGAUGUUACUCAACUAACCAGCAAAAUUUUGAAGGAUCUUGCUGAUGUGAAGCUAAUUUAGACAUCAGAAGUUAGCUUUGAUUCCACGUUAGUCAUGGUUGGGCACAAGGGUUGAACACUCUCCUUUCUGUUGUCUAGCUGUGUCUCUUUGUUGUUGUUUUCUGGGACAAAUCUUCCCACAAAUACUCACGAGUAUGAGUUUUAAAAGAAUAUGUAUGAUGGUGGGGAUGGAGAAGAAUUGAAAAUUAUGUAAGAUCUAAAUCCAUUCUUGACUCUUAGUGACUUUAUAAUGGUCCAGGAAGAUAGUCUUUGGCAAGUGAUAUGUCUCUUCUUCUUCAUCCCUGAAUGUCAAUUAGCCAGUUCUCAUUGGUAAAUUCAUUACAUCUAAAUCUUAAUUAUACUGAAGUACAUAUUCAUAUGGAUGUCCUUUUCAUAUAGGAUUAUAUAUGGUUUUUCUUUGUUAUCUUUUAGGUCAUGUUUUAAGGCUUGAAAGGGGGUGUCAUUUUUAUACAAGUAGUUCAUUGGAGGGAUGUGUGUGGUUACAGAGAAAGAAGAGUAGAGCAGGAAUGUUAUGAAAAAGAAAACACGUGCAAAUAAAACCUUGGGAUGAUUCUUUGGGGAUCACUAUGCCAAAUAUGGCUUCCCUCUGUCUUUGGCCACACAGUGCACCAAGGCAGAGGUAGUAACUUCAUAGCCUUCUACCCUACCAUAACUCCAGGCAUCUCUAGCUAAGGCUAAUCCUGUCUGUCUAAUUCAGCUCCUCAGAGAAUUCAGGUUGUGAAAGUUUAGUAGGCAACAUUUAUCCCAACUAUCAGAUGAGAUACCAACUUUAAGGGUCUCUAGACUAAUUAAUAUCUGAACUUGGAGAGAUUUCUUUAUAUACAGUCCUCUCUAUUUGUAUUUUCUGGUGAGUUUUUGUCUUGUACCAUCUUUUCCAUCUCUGAUCUUCUACUUUGUCCCCUUAGAAUAGAUCCUGAGGUCCAUAGGGAGACAAGCUCUGUUCAGACUGCAGCAUCUAGGGUUUAUUUCCUGCUAAGUAGUGCUUUGGAGUCAGGUUAGCAUGCCUUCAGAUGCACAGAGAUGAGGUCAUCAGUAAUUUCUAGUCCUUUGCAAUUCCAUUUAUCCAUCUCUGACACAGAACACAUCAUGGUCUAUCUGUCUCCUCAAAUUGGGUCCAGCCCAGUACGUCUAGGUCCUUGAACACGCCCCUAUUAUCAGUUUGCAUAUUAGGUAUUUUGGGUGACCAUUUCCAGGCUUCCAUAUGUGAAGGGUAUAAUGGGAACUGUAAAAAUGGGAGCUGUAAAAAAAUUGACUUUCCCCUUGUAAUUCUCAAGAGGACUAGUCACAAGGCUCUUCUGCCUCUGUAAAUAAACUGAGUCUAGCCACAGCCUCAUUCUGUUCCUCUGCUUCCUUGUCUUUCAACAGUCAUCUCUUUCUCCCAUCCUUUCUCUCUAACUCCCGCAGCCUUCAUGUCUGCACACACAUAAAUAAGUCUGUAUGCACGCAUGUGAGGACAUAUAGCCAUUGCAGUACUAUGUGGGUGUGUGUACGUGCUGAGGAAGUGUAAUAGACUAUGGUUGUGUGUUUUUAGGUAUACAAUAAGUUUUCUGCAGACUGGGGCGGGGUGAGGCAUUUGUUGAUUCAAACCAUUUUUUCCCCUGAGUUAGUACCCAAUCUGUAGCUACAAACCGCUGACUACAGCAUAUUUCUGAAUGUAGAUUUCCCCCCCUGACAGCCAAGACCUAAGUCUCGCCUGAUCUAUGCAGUCACAUUGUUCAAAUCACAAAGUCUGGGUGACAGAACUGCUCUAUUUUCUGAGAGCCCCCAACACACCUGUCACCAGAUGGAAGCAAGACUCCAGAAGUCACCACUGUACCUAGAAACUCAGCAGAUGAUGGAAAUUAUUUCUUACUACUAAUUCCCCUUUUAGUGGAGAUAAGCCGCUUUGUUCAGCUGUAAAUGAAACAUUAGGGUAUUAACUGUGAAGCCAGAAGUAUUGGGGAAACGACGAUUUUAUCUUCGGUAGGAACAUUUUGGGCAAUAAAUUGUUUUGUUGGACAGAAUACUAAAUCUCUUGAGUUACAAAGAAGCAGAGCUCAUUAAGGGAAAUGCUUAAAGCAGGGAGGGGGGAAAGAGGCAAGACAAAAGCUUAUUGCCUUUGCUGUGGGCAUCAUAGGGGUGUACAGGUCCUUCUGUGUAUGUAGCAUGAAAGAAUUAUAUGGUAGGGUGAUUAAACAGGUAUGUCUGUAGAUCUGCAAAUACUCUGUGAAUAUGUCCAAGGGAUGAAUAUAUUUCUGAAAUAUCAAUAGUAGUCUAUAAUAAGUUAUGAAUUUUGGAGUACAUAUUUAUCUUCAAAGAUGAGGUUUUUGUUUCCUGUGGGUGAAAUUUUCCCAUCUCUUUGCCACAUCCUUCAGAUUAAUCAGCUGGCAUGGUUACAUAAAUGUUUGUAAUAGAGAAGAGUGGGUGCUGGGGUUAUCCAAAAUAUUGUCGCAGAAUACACACCUGAAUUAAGAUAAUUAUGUGCUAAAGCGUCUGUCAGCAGGGCUUAGCAGGGAGGGAGGGGCUUUCCCAUGAUGGAGAGAAGGCUUUUGUUAGGAAUGGUGGGUUUAUAUCCCAUGCAUGUUCUCAUUCUCGGCUUGCCAAUGUCUGUCGAUGUGGAACAGAGGGAGCGAUGGCUCACUGAUGAUGAAGGCAGAAGCCAGUCAGGGAGUGAUGAUGUCUUCUCUGAGAAGACUUUCCCUUGGAGGUGGCUUCUCUGUGUGCCUUCAAACCUGAAGCUGUAUCAGUGUGACCCUGUAAGUCUGUGUUUGUUGCUUCUGGCCCCUGGGAGGAGGACAUCCCCUAAACUGUCCUACCAAGAAACUUAGAGCAUUGUAAGAAGACACACAUAGGAGGCUGUAAGAGCUAUGUCAGAAUGGUGUGUUGUAUUUUUCUCCUUGAGUCAUUCGGUGCAUCAUUGUGUGGGAUCACACCCUGAAGGAUCUUCUCACUAUUUUCAAUUUCCCACCUAGGUGGAUAUUAGGUAGAUGCCCACCCGGGACAUGGUCACCUGAAGCUGCCAGUACUGUGCAGAGUUCAGAAGUUCUGAGCUCUUGCUAUACCCUCUCCAUGUAUGCAAGCCUCAUUGAGCCUUUGCUUGGUUCUUUCUGCAGGAAAGAGAACACAGCUCCCAGCCUACCAGGGAGGUUGAUGUAGAUAAAUGCAUGGUAGGAUGACCCAACACACAGCCUCCUGUGAGCCUGGGCAAGCAUGAGCUUCCUUAGGCCUGACUUGACCUCGAAAAACUAGGAAUAUGACCUGUCAAGGUUAUUUUUAGGGCCAGAGUAUAUAUAACUCAGUGGUAGAGUACUUGUCUAAUAUGCGUCUUCCGUUGUAAAACAAAAAUCCCUUUGAUUUAAAUAAGUUAAAAAUAAUAAUGACUUUAUAUUUAAAAAAUCAUUGAAAUAUGAGGUCUUAACUGCAAAUAUUAUCCUUGUUGAUAUUCUAUCCAAAGCAGUACCAGGAUGGGAUUCUUGGAGACUUCCAUAGGAUAGAAUUGAGUGGACUGUUUCUGAAUCUGUUGUGUAUUUAUGCUGUGAUUCAAAUGACAAGAUAUUUAGCUUGUCAUUCAUUGUACACAUGAGUUUGAAGGACCACUUAUCUAUGGAGUAGGACAUCAGGCUGUCAACACUAGUUUAUGGGAGCAUCAGACAUCCCGUGGCAUUCCUGCCUUUUAUCUGUCACUUAGACGGCUAGUUGAGUGUUGAGAUGAGUUGAAAUCUUUCUGUGAAAGUGACUGGAACUCACUUGUUACACAGACAUGGCAGAGCCUAUAGUCUCUAAAGUUGGUACCAAGGAGUAAGAAGGGUGAAUGAGCAGAAGGACAGAAUUAAACCCAAUACUUUCUAAUAUAGAGAAACACCAUUGUGGUAGUAGUUUCCAAAUGGAGUCUUAUUUACAUGAGUAUACUCUUUUGGUAUCCUGGAAUAAUUCUAACAUAUAUUUGUAACCCUAAUUUUUAACCCUUGCAGUAAAGUAAUAGAUCCAUAUAGUAAGGACAUUGGCAUCAUGUAUUCUGGAUUUAAAUCUUGUCUCUUGCAAACUACUCAAUCUUUAAUAUACCUGAUAGUCUAUUUGAGCCUCAUUGAUCUCAUCUAUGAAAUAACCACAUAAUACUACCCAUGUUUUCAAGCCUCACUAGGUUCUAUAAUUUCUGAGCUCAGUAAACCAAGCUUCCUUUUAUAAAGUACUGUAGCCUAGAAGCUCCUCAGAGUGACUAUUUGGAGAUUUAGCUUACCUAGAGACUUCUGUUCCUGGGGCUGUUUGUGAGCUCUUGAUGAGUCAGAUUCCAAUAGGGCUCUAUAUGGAGACAAUGUGCACCUCAGGUAGAACUGUUCAAAAUGUACCAGAGACUCAAGGGCUAAUGCCUCUGAUCUUUAUCAGAAAAUGUAGAGAUGAUGAUAAUGAAGGGUUUAAUUGAUAUGUAUAUUGUUCAUUGUUGAAUGCUCUAUAUAUGGGUUUAUCAUCAUCAUCAUCAUGGUCAACAUCAUCAUGGUCAUCAACAUUAUCAUUUAUUGUUACUGCCAUGUUAAGCUGGGAAUAAGAAUCAAUUGUUGAGUCUCUGGAGAAUCUGUAGAGAAGAUCCUCAGGCUAACAACUAUCCUGAGAGACUUUACCUUUGACCCCUACCUUCAUAUGCUUUCAGAGACCUCUGGAAGGGGACAACUUCAUUCUUUUAGGAGCCUUCCACAGAGUGAAAAUUAGGUUAGAAAUAUGCUCAUGUGGUGAGCUAUGGCCAGGACAGUCCUACAGUCAGUGACAUGUGCAAGUAUGAAGCCAAGUCUCACAUCUGUCCCCAAGAAGCUCCUGCUACAUUAGAUACCCCUGGGUAGAUAACCCCUGGAGACUGUUCAAAUGCAGUCCUCAAGCUAAAGUUAAAACUAAAGACACUGUUACUUCUUAGAGCUUCUGUCAAAACUACACUAUCACACAUAUGAUGGCCUUAGAUGAAAAAAUGGAUUCUGUCACAGAAUCUAAGACCCAAAGGCUAAAUUCAAAAUGUCCUCAUGGUGAAAUCCUUAUAGAUACUCAGAAUAUCUUCUAUGCUUUUCUUUCAACUUCUAGUGGCUUCUAGAAAUCUAGACACACAACCAUGUGUCCUUUCAGGAUCUGCCUCCACCUCUCUCUCUCUCUCGUGUGUGUGUGUGUGUGUGUGUGUGUGUGUGUGUGUGUGUGUGUGUGUAUGUGCAUGCAUGUGUGUGUCACAGAUACUAUGAAUAUACGUGCUUGUCCACAUGAGGUUUGGAGGACAAAGUCAAGUGUCAUUCUCAGGUAUCCCUACCCCCUCUCUUUUCAUAGAGUUUUGUUGAUAUUUUGGGGGGGAGUCAUGUCAUGCACCCAGAUCACACUCAUUUCCCUGUCCUUCCAUAUCCACCCCUCCCUUGUAACCAACACCUCCCAAAAGAUAAAAUUUAAAAAGUCCAAUCUGUGUUAUCCAUACACUCAUUGAAACAUGGUCAAACAGUGGCCUGCCCUUUCAGGAGAACUGAGUCGUUCCGCUCCAGCACCCCAUUAAAAGCCCUCCAGGUAGAGAGCCAACCCUCUCUCCCUAAAGGUUGGCUCCCUCACCCAUUUUUUAUGUGGGCUCUCUCCCAGGCCUGGAAUUCAGCAAGUAGGCUAGGCUCCCUAGUGUGUGCUCCAGGGUUACUCUUAUUUCUGCCUUCCCAAGAUGGGAUUGCAAGGGGAUCAGGCUGAAGUCUUCAUAUUUGUAAGCUUAACUCUUUAUCAACCAGGCCAUCUCUCGACCUUUCCCUUGACACUUUGCUCUAUCUUUUCCUUUUGCUUUUGUCAGGAUCUGUCAGUGGACUUAAGUCUCAGUCAAAUGCAGGACGAUGUCAUAGCAAGAUUGUUGCUUGAUUAUUUCUGUGAAGGUCCCCUUCCCAAAUAAGGUCACAUGGGAACUUGUGCUUAAGACAUUGAGAGACACUGUUAGGUACACUUCUAUUUCAUUGCCCAGCAUCUUUAGCUAGAGAACCAGUGAGUCUAACAUGGAUCAGUCCCCAAAAAUUACAUAAUGACAUUAGAAGUAGUCAUGUUUUCUGUGUACUUAUAUGCCACAAGAAUGAUACUAAAUCACUAUGACAUUCUUUCCUGAAAAUGUACCUAAACACUCCUGCUUUUUUUCUGAAUUGAUGAGAAACUGAGCAUCUAGAGAAGGUCACUUUCUUAGUACUGAACCAAGAAACAGGCAUCACUACUAUCUUAUAAAUUUAUAUUUCAAAUACUGGGGUUUAUUCUCUGAAUCUUUACAAAAGUUAUAUUUUUAUGUGUGUAUGUAUGUGCAAUGGUGGAUCUUGGUCCUGCCCUUGUACCCUGGUCCCCAGACUUAGCAUCAAGUGCUUUUACUCACUGACCCAUGAAGGCGACUCCAUGAUAUGCAUCUUGAUGUCUGAAGUUCUUACAUUUUUUCAUGCAUAGAAUUUUGCUGCGCUUGUUAAUACCCCACCUUUCCCUAUACUCCAUCUUUAGAGACUUCUGGUUCUGGGGAUGCAGGAGGAGGGCCAGGAUCUGCAUUUAAAAUAACUGCAUUAUGUAAUACUACCCCCUCUUUCCUCCCACUUAACCCAUCCUUCAGGUAACUGCCUAGUCGCUCACAGAUAGGUUCUCAUGAUGUCUGAAGAGAAAAAUCCUAAAAAGUGAAAAAAAUAUAUACACACACAGAAGAGCUCAAGUUGUUUGUUAACACUUUCAAUUUUUCAUGUUUUAGGUUAAUUGCUCUUAUUCCCUUUCUGAGAAGCCCCUCCACUUUUGGUCUUUGCUGCGAUCCUCCCUGCCCCCUGCAGUGGGAAAGGAGGGGAGGGUUGGUUUUGCUCCCAGACCUUGUUGCAGCAGAGUCUUCUCACUCGUUAACACUUUCAGCUUUUCCACAUGGAUGGCACCCACAGAGCCAGGGCUGGAAAAUCCUUCAGCGGAGCACAGCAGACUCGCCUCAGCCCCAUAAUAAUCCAGUCAAUUAAAAAUUGAUUUUCAUUCUGAACAACAUGGUGGUGAUGUCACAGGUCGUCAGUGUCCACACUGUCACUGGUCACCCCCCAUGAAGGGAUGCUAAAGGGUCUUCCCAUCAUAUGGGGAGCAUGUGUUGAGUGAUCUCAGUUGCUGAAGCAGCAAGACCAAAGUGUUUCUCCCCACAGUGGCAUUUUGUCCCCUUCCAUGCUGUUCAGUGAGCAGUGGUGUUGUACAUACAACCCUGGAAACAUGAACAGACAAGAAGUAUGCAAUUGCAUGUCAUUUGUGAUACAACUGUGCAUGAAAUGGGCUGGAUUUUCCAAAUUAACUGACUGCUACCUUUUACUGCUUAUCGUAAUAUAAUUGACCAUCAGGAGUCACUCACUUAAGAUGUCCAAUGUGAUUUUGGUACAGGUCUUCAAUUGUGGUAGGGUCAGUAUCACCUUGCACACUUAUUUUCCUGAUCUACGUGUUAGGGGAGAAUACCUAAGAUCUACUUUCCUGAAAGAUUUUAAGUUUAGAAUACCUGCAGUGUUCCUGGUAGAUUUGGGAGGUCUUAUCUGAAAUAAGUAUCAGAACGUUCUAAAGAUAGUGUAUGAAUAGGGGAAAUAAGCAAUGGUAUCAGAAAAAUCAAAGAGAGUUAAGCUGUCUGACAGUGGAUUUUAAAAUGUAUUUGUAUUGAUUUUUUGAGAAUUUCAUACGUGCAAAUGGUGUACUUUAACCACAUCUGCCUUCUGUUCCCCCUCCAACUAUCAGACCCUUCUUGCUCUAUCCCCCUCCUAAUCUCAUGUCCUCCUUUUUUGUAUAUAUGUAUGCAUAUAGCCACUGUGACAGUACUUUUAAAUUAAUGUAUUUAUGUUUCAUCACAAAAUAAUUGGCAUGAAUCCAAUUGCUUUCUGUGAAAUGAAUCACUCCGUGCAGAAGUGUACUAAGAGUUCGGGUUUCCAGUUUUGUAACAGGCUCCAGCUCAUUCUUCUGCAGCAGAAAAGCUUUGUAAGUCAUCAGGCAUGCUCCAGACUUCUCUCUGCUAAAUAUUCAAGCUUGGCUUAAAAUCUGGCAGGCCUUUUGGCAAGACUAUAGACAGGUGGAUAGGUUGAUAAAUAGAUAAUAAGACAUAUGUGUUUAUAGGCAGAUGGGAUUGCUGGGUUAAAAAAGAAGAAAAUAUUGAAGAUAGUUUGGAAGUCAGACUUUGAGUGGAGGACUAUCGAAGCUUUCCACUCUCCCUAUGAGGGCAGCAAUUGGGAAUUAUGCUAUUUUACUCUUUUGAACCUCAUUGUUACCAUUUAUAUAGUACAGAAAAAAAUUACUCUUAAUGCUCCAGAGCUGAGGAUACAGUGAGAUAUCGACAGAGUUAUAUGAGAAUGUUAUGGCCCAGCAGGCAUAUUGGUGCAUGGAGGGACCUGAUCUUGAUCCUCAGGGCUCUUCUGAAGAAGCCAGGUAUGGUAGCAUGUGCUUACAGUUUCAGUGUUGGAGAGGUCAAGGCUGGUGGGAUGCCUGUGGCCAGCUGGCCAGCCACUCUAGCCUACACAGUGAGUUCCAGGUCACUGAGACACCUGUCUCAAAAAAAAAAAAAAAAAAAUUAAAGGUGAUGGCUCCUGAAAAAUGAUGGCUGAGGUUCCCUUCUGCCUUCCUUGUGUGUAUGUGUGUGUGUGUGUGUGUGUGUGUGUGUGUACUUGCCACUUGCACACAUAUGAACAUCCAUACAUCCACAUACAAAAUAAAUUCCACAAGGAAACUUAAUUAUCCUGCAAAGGUGACUAAAGAAAUUUCCUUUUUAAAGUCAGGGCCUAUAUCUACAAGGCUAGGUCCCCAACAGAAGGGUAACUGGGUGAUUAAUAUAUCAAGCACAGUGGGUUUUCUUCCAUUUAAUGAAGUUCUUUUUGUUUUGUCUUAAUUGUGCAUCUGUAUCUUAAAGACACCAAGUAGCAAAUCCCACAGGGUCAGAUACUUCCCCCAAAAUAAAAGUUGAACCAAAGCAUAGAAUGGGGACUUUGCCCAAAUUGAAAAUUCUAUCUGCUUGCUCUCAGAACUCUAACUGAUAUGAACAAUGCCUUCAAAGUUUGUUUAAAAAUUUACCAAGCUUUCUCUCUGGACUUACCCACAAAGGUAAGUAAAGAAGUAACUGAUUUGUUCUUGGAUGUGGUUAAGUGUCCUGAAAAUGGUGGUUAAUAAUUUCCCUUUGAAGUGAGAAAUACUGUGUUCCUAAGCUCCAUUAUCCAUCUUUAAUAAUUUGCAAUGAAGUCAUUGUCUUUUGAUAUAAAUGAAUAUCAUCUAUAAAAAAUAAUCUUAAAUAAAAGUUUUAAAUUCAGCUGCACUUGGGAACAGCUCCCUAGGAUCAGAGGCACAGAGAGUCCUUGCUACUCUCAGAGGAUAAUAGUUAGGAACAGCAUACUUCAAAGUUUUUAAACAUUUAUCCUUGAAAGACAAUCCUUGGCUUCCCAAGCCUACUACAUAGUUAGAUACGAAAGCAUGAGACUCUCCUCUGCUAAUCGCCAGUGUUCAGAAUGAGCCUAAUUGGAUAACCACUGGCACACAGUAUGGCAAAUAAAUUGUGGCCUAUGACUCUGGAGGACUUUGAAUGUCAGCAUUAACCACAGGGACAGCUCAAGUAUAGGAAAAGUGUUUGAUUUGAUGCUAGAGGAAGGACAACAGGAAAGCAGAGGGAUCUGGAGACAGUUUCUGAAACCCUGCAGAACAUUUGCAAGAGUGGUCUUGAAAUAAACAUUGAGCCUGGAACUAUGCAUUGAUGAUAUAAUUCUGUCACAAAUUGGGCCUGAUUUCUCUUUAAUUAACUGAGUGCUUUCCCCCUGGCUUCAUUGCAGAAUAAUUGAGAAAUGGGUAUUACAUGUAUUUAAGAAGUACAACUUACUUUGGGUGUUGGUAUUCAUAGUGAAACAAUUCAAAUCUCUUUACAUACUUGAUAUCUUUAGUUUGAUUAUGCUGUCUCAAGUCUGUUCAUGUGUGUGUGUGUGUGUGUGUGUGUGUGUGUGUGUGUGUGUGUGUGUGUGUGUGUGUGUGUAUCUGAUGCAGAAAACACCAUCUGGAAAGGAAGAAUGCUGUUGUUCACUAUGGCAGGCAGGUGCGGUUAUUGUAAAUCAUAUCCCUUUGGUACCCAGAAUUGUGUUUGGGAAGGACUCAUACCAUGUUUCACUCAUUUGCUUUUCGAUGUAAUGCAAAUACAGAGUCCAACCAAAACCAGAGGAGAGUGUGUGCAUAUGAGCAACUAGAGUAUGAUAGCACAACCAUCCAUUCUCUUCACUGCUAAGCCUCAGGGCAGCACAGUGCUUAUUCACGGGUUCAGUGACAACCUGGCAACUUCACUGAUUUGAAGCACCUGGCACACCCUGACAGAUCCUGUCUCCUCAAUGAAGUCUAGUGCGCUGACGGUCUUUCUCCUUGAGCAGAGCUGGACAGACUUAGCCCUCAAGCCACAUCUGGCAAACAGACUUUGUUCCUGAACAGACUCUUAUGGGAACACAGUUGUGUAUGUUUCCGUAUAGAUAAUUUUGUGCUAUAGUGGCAGGAUUAAGUAGUGGCAAAAUAGCUGAUACCUGUGGUGCCUGGGGUACCUACUCUUUACCUCUUUACAGAAAAUAGAGUUGGGGAGGCCUUGUUCCAGACAGCUGUGUGCUAGUGAUCUCUCAAGCUAAUAUAAAAUUUGAACUUGUGGACUGCUCCAAUAUCAGAAACCCCCCCCCCCCCAUCCUUUGUUACAUUGUCAGUAGUGAGCUAUUCCUUUUAAGAACCUUUUCACAAAUAAUAUGUGAAUCAACAGAUUCAGGCAUAAGUUGUUUAGGAUUUUCCCCCCAAAUAUAUUUACUGAGAUAAAUUAUGCUCAGCUGUGGUGAUUUAUAGAUGACAGUAAAAGCAGAGAUUUUAAUAUUGUAACUAUAUUCAUUUCAAAAUUUAAAAAGUUAAGAUUUUCUCCUGGGAACAUAGUAAACCAUUUAAAACUGUCAUUGUGUCUAGAUGAACAGGAGUAAACACUGCAUCUCUACAUAGGAGCUCAUGGGUGAGCCUGAUCUGCUGUGGAAAAGUCAUGGUUCUCACCUCCCUCACCUCCUGCGGUGGCCAUGGAGAUAGCUGUGCUUCCUAGCUGACCUAUUGAUCUUUUAAGGUAACCAGGCUGCAUCUGGAUAGGCAGUCAGAGUUGUAGCCUGCUAGAGUAGUCUGUGUGUCGUUGGCCAUUGUACUUGAGUUGGAUCACUAUGUGGUGUCAACAGCCGCCCUGCGUACUCUGGCAGGGACAACGACAUCUCUGGUCUUAGCCACUCUGUGGCUACAUGAGUUACUUCUCACUGCUGUGACAGAACAUUUGGCAAAAGGAACCCAAGGAAGGGAAGGUUUAUUUUGGCACACAGUUUGAGGGGUUAUAGUCCAUGGUGUUGGGGAAACCAUGGCAACAGGAGUGUGAGGCAGUUGUUCCCAUGGCAUUUAUCUUCAGGAAACAGAGAGGUGAAUUCUUGUCUUCAGCUCACUUUCUCCUUUUUAUUCAGCCCGGGACUCCAGACUAUGAGACAGCACUGGGCACAUCUAGGAUGAUCACCCCUUCCUUGCAGGGUCCUCAUUGUGUGUUUGCUUGGGGGAAUGCUGCUUCUUUUCCUUUGUUGCCCUGAGCUCACCCCACCUCUGCAUCUCCUUAAGCCUUACUUCACUUCACUCUAUGUUUAAAUGUGCUGCCAGCACCAGAUUGCCCCGAACUCCUCAGCCUCGCCUGAUAAGGCUGAGCUGCUGUUGUUGUCGCUCUAAGUCGAUCAGCAGAGCAGGCCUGUGAGCAGGUUCUGGGGGGCUGCAGGACCUCUCAGUGUCUGGCUGCUGUGAUCAGAGGGUCUGAAGAAUGAGAGCGCCUCUGAUGCGUUCUUAUCAGGCUGAGCCUAAUGUCAACCCUGUUAGAGAGCCUGCGUCCGAUCUGCCUGUAGCUUUGUUCUGAACCGUUCAGUAACAGCUCAGUGGAGCAGAAAGAGCCCUGCGAAUUGAUAUUAUAAACCCACAUGCCUGUUUUAUUCAUUGCAGAGCGAACAGAAUAUAACACAAGUAUUUAUUUCUAGUGGUUAGAGAAUGACAUUUCUUUCCCCUUUCCCCAUUGUUACGGAAUGCAGAAAACAACACAGGGUUCUGUGAACACAAUUGCGUUGAAAAGUUAUUGCCAACUGUUCCCUGUUUCCAUUAUCUUCCACUCUCCUAAGCAGUAGAUGCGUGUGUUGAAUAUGUAUGUGUGCAUAAUAUAUAUUACAUUCGUUUGGAUGGUCUUAAUAAAGAGUCACGGGCCAUGGGAUGUAAUCCAAUUGCUGCCAGGUGGGGCUUCAAUCUCUGGCUGUUCCCUUGACCCUUCUACCCCUCCCCAUUUUCAUUGAAAGUUAGGUUUUCUAGAAAAAUUCAUGAGCCUUCGUCAUGUUUCAUUCAUCCUUUGCUCCUGGGCAUUCCUCACUGAAGGUCAGGAGCUAUGAAAUUUCUCUUUUAGUGCCUUUGCUUUGAUAUGGCACAGGCUGGGCAAUAGAGAAAAUGAAGUGUGGAGAAAAUGAAGUUACGGCAAUGUCUUAAAUGGGAUGAGGGGCUGCUCAAGAUGGCUUAUAAAUGAGGGGAGUGCUGCCUGUUGUCUGAGCUGGUAUAUCUCUCACAAAGAGAUCAAGGGAAGGGCUGGACACAUGAGUAGCUUCAAGUCAUACUUACAGCUACAUUGCUGGUGCUAACUUCCAUGAUGAUGGUGGUGGGGUGGGGGUGGGGUGGUAAUAGUAGAUUAUGCCAUAUGAAAGUGUUGGCAUUUGACAAUUGUUAACAUAUAUUUUGAUCACCUUCACAUGACUUCUGUCAAUAACUGUUCGAGUGAUAACUGUGGCCCUGCUCUAAACAUUCAACAAACAUUUCUUAGUUCAUUGAACCAAAUGUAUCUUCAUCUGUUAUUAACUCCAUAAUUAUAAUGUAGACCCUGAGUUGUACAAGUGACUUAUGGAAUACCCAAGCUUCCUAAGAAGCAAAACUUAGACUAAAGUCAGAGAGGAAGACUACAGUCUAUGCCCUCCACAAGAGAGUUAGUACCCUUUUCUCAACUUCUCACACGCUGCUAAGUCCCAAGGUCAUAGACACAUUCCUUUGGCCAUGUAUACAGAACAUGCCCACACUUAUACAUUCUAAAAUUAGCUUACAAAGAGAAACAUUGGGAUGGCAAGGAGGCUCAGUGGGUAGGCCUGACUACAUGAGUUAAAUCCUCAGGUGCCAGGUAGUAGCAGAAGAAAAGAACAAAUUCCCACAAGUUGUCCUCUGACCUCUACAUAUGUAUCACAACACACAUGUCCCCCAAAUAAAUAAAUGCAAUAACCUUCUAUAAAGGAGAAAAUUAUAAGCAUGCAUAAGCAAGUCACUAGAUUCUAGAUGUCCUUCUAAUUAAUAGUUUUCAUUCAUGGUCUGUUAGAGGCUCCUCACAGCUUUGCAGAGUUUCAUAGUAAACAACAACAUGCUUGUGGGGCUUGCCUUAACCCCACUUUCCUCAAACUGAUUUUCUAUUAGACAAAUGGUUAUAGAAAAAAGCACAUGCCCUGGUCUCUCCUGAGCCCUGGUACUUUCCUAACACUAAUGUUUCCCAAAAUGUACUACUGGACAAACUCUGUUCUGUCCAUGCCUGCAGCUGUUCAUUAUUGCCUUGCUCUGAAUCACCUCUUGAAACAUUUGUGUCCCCAAGAAAUCCCUCCAUUGCUGUAGCCUACCCUCUUUCCAUCCAUCCUUAUUAUCAAUGGGUUCCACACUUUCUCUCCCUGUUAAAACCCAAAUGGCUGACCCCAUGCUCAUAGCUCCUGAUUCAGCGGGUCUCGCAUGAGGUCUCCAAAAUGUGUAUUUCUUAAAGGAGUCCAAGUGAUGCCAAUUUAUUUGCUCUGUUCCUGUGUAGGGAUAGACAGGUCUAUUAUUGAGUGGCUAAAUUGCCUUUAGGCACAUCAUCUAGAGUCCAUGGCCUCAUGGUGAAGAGGCUCAGACUCACCUCUUCAGUUCAUGUGCAGAGUAACUGGAUCUUCCUUUGCUAGUGUACACAGAGCCUGGAUUGUCAGCACAGUAAUAGUAAUCCCAAUUAGCACCUCCAGAAAGGUGUUUCACUGUGGAGCCUGAGGGAGUCCUAGUCCCAGAUGCUGCCUCCAUGGGUUUUCACUCAUCAAGUCUAGGGGUAGGACAUGAGUAUGCAUAAUUGGUAAGGAAUCUAGAUUAAUCCAAAUCAAAUAAUAGACAGUCCAUCGUUACUUAUUUAUUUAAUAAGUGUUUGUCCUAGGUAUUUAUGAGCCAGGUAGUGCUUCAGGAUAUGGUGGACAAAGUCCCCAUCCCCAUGGAGAUAGUGACAUGUAGAACAUAGCACACAUAAGUACAUGUAUGGUGAAUGUUUGGGUCAUUACAGGGGAUUCAUUGAAGAAGCAAUAAUGAGGCAAGAAGAUGGACAUUGUUUUUUUCAGGGGUCUUGGAAAGAAGACACUAGAGGAAAUAAAGGUAGAACAAAGUAAACAAAUCUUCAAUUUCAACUUAACACAAAUCUAUGCUGCUGUUUAUAAUGUUUUCUCAAUGGAAAACCUUGAUUUAUCAGCCAGUACAGUAGAUUGUGUUGAGGGUCUACAUUGUCCCAAGCAUAAUUCUCUAUAGCUGUCAAAUAUUAAUUCUAAUCCUCAUAACCAUGUACUAUCCUCAUAAUAUAAAUAAUAUCCUGAAGAGAUUAAAUAGUAGACAGGCAGUGUUGCCUUUUCCUACUGUAUCCUACAAACUCUGGUGUGUGAAGACUUGGACUUCCUUUGUGUUUGAAGUCUUCAGGUGGCACUCAUCCUCUUGUCAUGAUCUUCUUGAAUACCUAGUUCUUUUGUUACCAGGUUCCGAGUUUGUACUAUUGCUGUGCCCAUUGAUUACAGAUUGAGUUAUACCUUCAACUCCACUGAGAGUGAGGACUGGGUAUCUGGGAGUUUAAGUUUUUAGAUGACUCUAAUAUUCUGUCAGUGUUGGGUACCACCAACUAUCCAUGGUCCAAGAUUAAUAGAUGUCUGGUUGUUUGACAAUUGGAGUCUGGUUGAGAAUACAUAUGCUGGGAGUCACUGUGAACAGUGCACUUGGAGUGCAUUAUCAUUUGAGUGAUGAAGCUCUCAGAAACAAGAGGUAGAAAACUUAUAGAAUGGGCAGACAGAAAUGAUGCCUUGGGAUCAGCACAGGCCAUGGUGUCCACACUGAAUAUGAAUCCAGCUCUGCUGUUUGUAAUUGUGUGAUUUGAGCUAACAUCCUGGAGUAUUUAUGAGAGCUAACACUGUUAAGAAUAAAGUCUCUUCUCU